AUUUCGGAAAUAGUAUUUCCAUCUCUGGUUCUUUUCACUUUGACGAUUAACGCGUCAUGUGAAGGACCAGUAUUCCGUGUAAGACGGUUUGUUUUAAACCGUCUGCCGAGUGGGGCAAACGGUUAGCUUGCUAAACAGUAGCUUGUUUGAGCCGCACGGUUUGCACAUUUAAACCAGUUCUGACUGCACGUAUCGCUUCAGUCAGCGUUUUGUGAUUUGGCCUCGAAGUAUGUGCACGAAGACCCUUUGGUUUGAGUGAUCCAAACACUUCGGGUGUUGCAACGUUAGCCACGUGUUUGUGAAGCAGCGACUUGUGUGGGGAACGUUUCCGUCAGAGUGAUAGUUGCACUUUGCAGCUCAUUGUAACGAUGAGAUAGUAAUGAAGAAGACGGCACAUUAUUAUCGGGGGUGUAGCAGCAGACCCAUAUCGCCAUCAACUGGGCCGGUGGACUCCACGACGCCAAGCAGUCCGAAGCAUCUGGUUUGUGUUACGUGAAUGACAUCGUCCAAGACAUCGGGACUGGAAAGGGCAAAUACCACGCAGUGAAUGACCCACUCGGAGAUGGUAUCGACGAGAGGUCCUACGAAACCAUCUCUAACCCGGCAAGUGUGUUUUACUAUCAUGGCCAAGUAACGGAGAUGUACCAGCUGAGCGCAGUGGUCCUUCAGUGUGGCGCCGAUUGAACGUCACUAUUAAAGGCCCCGCCAGUGAGCAACCAUUUUAGUUUGAGUCCACGACCAAAGAAUAGCCUGUGAGGAGGACGUUGCAGUAAUGCUGCCAACCAAGGG